GCCACCAUGGUGAAAUUGGUAGAGACGUUGCUUUAAUGAAGCAGUACUAGAGCAUCUCGGUUCGAGUCGGAGUGGCAGCA